rnacentral:rRNA from 1 species
AUUGAACGCUGGCGGCAGGCCUAACACAUGCAAGUCGAGCGGUAGCACAGAGAGCUUGCUCUCGGGUGACGAGCGGCGGACGGGCGAGUAAUGUCUGGGAAACUGCCUGAUGGAGGGGGAUAACUACUGGAAACGGUAGCUAAUACCGCAUAACGUCGCAAGACCAAAGAGGGGGACCUUCGGGCCUCUUGCCAUCAGAUGUGCCCAGAUGGGAUUAGCUAGUAGGUGGGGUAACGGCUCACCUAGGCGACGAUCCCUAGCUGGUCUGAGAGGAUGACCAGCCACACUGGAACUGAGACACGGCCCAGACUCCUACGGGAGGCAGCAGUGGGGAAUAUUGCACAAUGGGCGCAAGCCUGAUGCAGCCAUGCCGCGUGUAUGAUGAAGGCCUUCGGGUUGUAAAGUACUUUCAGCGGGGAGGGAGGUGUUGAGGUUAAUAACCUCAGCAAUUGACGUUACCCGCAGAAGAAGCACCGGCUAACUCCGUGCCAGCCGCCGCAGUAA